GACGAACGCUGGCGGCGUGCUUAACACAUGCAAGUCGAACGGAAAGGCCCUGCUUUUGUGGGGUGCUCGAGUGGCGAACGGGUGAGUAACACGUGAGUAACCUGCCCUUGACUUUGGGAUAACUUCAGGAAACUGGGGCUAAUACCGGAUAGGAGCUCCUGCUGCAUGGUGGGGGUUGGAAAGUUUCGGCGGUUGGGGAUGGACUCGCGGCUUAUCAGCUUGUUGGUGGGGUAGUGGCUUACCAAGGCUUUGACGGGUAGCCGGCCUGAGAGGGUGACCGGCCAAAUUGGGACUGAGAUACGGCCCAGACUCCUACGGGAGGCAGCAGUGGGGAAUAUUGCAUAAUGGGCGGAAGCCUGAUGCAGCAACGCCGCGUGCGGGAUGACGGCCUUCGGGUUGUAAACCGCUUUCGCCUGUGACGAAGCGUGAGUGACGGUAAUGGGUAAAGAAGCACCGGCUAACUACGUG
rnacentral:rRNA from 1 species